GGGCGGGUAGCGCAGUGGUCAGCGUGUUCCUGAGCGUUUCAGCGUUAUUUUCUUCCCUAAUAAGUACCUCUCUUCAGCGUUUAGUGAAAGACCUGGGUUCGAAUCCCAGCCCGCCCA
rnacentral:tRNA from 1 species